rnacentral:miRNA from 1 species
UAGGGUACACCCAUACUGAGCCG